UACGUAGGGUGCGAGCGUUAAUCGGAAUUACUGGGCGUAAAGCGUGCGCAGGCGGUGAGCUGUGUCCGAUGUGAAAGCCCCGGGCUUAACCUGGGAAUGGACAUUGGAAACUGGCUCGCUGGAGUGUGGCAGAGGGGGGUGGAAUUCCGGCGGUGUAGCAGUGAAAUGCGUAGAGAUGCGGAGGAACACCGAUGGACGAAGGCAGCCCCCUGGGCUAACACUGAGCGCUCAGGCACGAAGGCCAGGGGAGCAAAGCGGG
rnacentral:rRNA from 1 species